rnacentral:rRNA from 1 species
GAUUCUGGCUCAGAACGAACGCUGGUGGCGUGUCUUAUACAUGCAAGUCGAGCGAGGCAGCAAUGCCGAGCGGCGAACGGGUGAGUAACGCGUAAGCAAUCUGCCCCAUAUCAGGAAAUACCCGUGCCAACGCGCGGUUAAUGUCCAGGAGAGUGGCCCUCUGCAUGGAGGGUUGACUAGAGAUUUAUCGGUAUGGGAUGAGCUUGCGUCCGAUUAGCUAGUUGGCGGGGCAACGGCCACCAAGGCGACGAUCGGUAGCCGGCCUGAGAGGGUGAUCGGCCACAUUGGGACUGAGAUACGGCCCAGACUCCUACGGGAGGCAGCAGUAGGGAAUAUUGCACAAUGGGGGAAACCCUGAUGCAGCAACGCCACGUGUGGGAAGAAGCAUUUCGGUGUGUAAACCACUGUCAUGAGGGAAUAAGGCCCUUAUUCGUAAGGGAUUGAAUGUACCUUGAGAGGAAGCACCGGCAAACUUCGUGCCAGCCGCCGC